UAAAAAUCAAAAUCAAAAAAGGGAAAGAAAGGUUAACAUACCUGUACUAUUCGAAGGUGUAGCAGAAACAGAGCCUAGUUGAGCUUAAUUUAUUUCUAUUUUGGAAAGGGAGUUAGGGAUAAGUGAAUAGCUUAAGAGGAACCUAACAUCAUUAGAAAAUCACUAAAAAUGGCUUACCUCUCAGAAGGAGAGGUCUGCACACCUCUGCACCCUUAUAACCUGUCACUUCCUUCCUCCCAAUUCACACUCUAUUUUCACUUCUGCAAUAUCUCUUAAAUUCAUUAUAGU
rnacentral:lncRNA from 1 species